AUCAGAAACCGUAGUCUUGUUGCAUAUUUAUUGAUUAUUUUGGAUAUGUCUUUUUUGUCAUAUCCGUUUUUUAUAAGUGGUAAUGCGACUCGGCAUAUAGCUAUCUGUAUGUGUUGGUUUUUUGUACACUUGAUGGCUUAAGGCAGAGCCUUCCAAAUGGUCACGUGAUCGUAUCUCCACAAAAAUUUCAACAGUCUCAAUUUUACCCUCUCCAAUGCUGCCUUCCAGUCUUUCCGCCACACGUGUUUAUAGCUGUCGCAAGCAACCACGAAUAGGAGAAACGUUGCAUGGUGGGAGACAAGCACGAGCGAGCGAGAGGCAAGGGAAUUAAGGGCCCACGGCGCCCGAUUAGGAAGGCUCUGGCCUAAGGUAUCAUCACAGUAUAAAGUAUAGACACUGAGCGUUGACAUCUUUGAUGGAUCUCAGGUUACAUAACUCGCCGCCAUAUUGUGAGUUGGAAAGGCGCUUAUAAAUUUGAGUUUUUAUAAAGCUACAGAAUGAUUUAAAAAAAAAAAAGACAAUUCGGUCGUAUCAUGAAAAUUAUUUAU